UUAAAGUAAUGGUUUAACCGGCUUAAGCCCGUAGUCGAGACUGAGAGGUUUAUCGACCACAUUGGGUCUGAAAAUAGCCCAAUACGUAUAGUACAGCAGUGGGGAAUAUUGGUCAAUAGCCUAACGGCUGAACCAGCAAUUUGGGAGAAUGAGGUUGGUAACAUGACAAGUGGGGCCAGAGGGNNNNNNNNNNNNNNNNNNNNNNNNAAUCGGCUUAGUCGAAUAAAGUUCUAGAUAGAAUAGUGAUUAUGACAAUUUUCUAUCUAAAUGUCUUGACCAAGUCACGUGCCAGCAGUCGCGGUAAUACGUGGAAGACUAGUGUUAUUCAUCUUUAAUAGGUUUAAAGGGUACCUAGACGGUAUUUCUAGCCCCAAAAGGGUACGGAUUUACUAGAGUUUUAUGUGAGAGGCAAAUAUUAGUACUAUUGGAGUAGAGAUGAAAUUCUUUGAUACUAGUAGGACUGAUGGCGGCGAAAGCAACCCUCUAAGUAUAAACUGACGUUGAGGGACGAAGGCUUGGGUAGCGAACAGGAUUAGAUACCCUAGUAGUCCAGGCAGAAAAUUAUGAGUGCCAUAGACUAGAUAAUUUUGGUCUAUAAAUGAAAGUGUAAGCAUUCCACCUCAAGAGUAAUGUGGCAACGCAGGAACUGAAAUCAUUAGACCGUUUNUGAAACCAGUAGUGAAGUAUGUUAUUUAAUUCGAUAACCCUCGAAAAACCUUACCACAAUUUGAAUGUAAUACAUGUAGUAGUCUAAUAAUUGUCUNUUUAACAAUUACAUGUAUUAACACAAGCGUUGC
rnacentral:rRNA from 1 species